rnacentral:rRNA from 1 species
UACGGAGGGUGCGAGCGUUGUCCGGAAUCAUUGGGCGUAAAGGGCGCGUAGGUGGCCCCUCAAGCGUGCGGUGAAAGUCAGGGGCUCAACCCCUGAUCGGCCGUGCGAACUGGGGAGCUUGAGCACUGUAGAGGCAGGCGGAAUUCCGGGUGUAGCGGUGGAAUGCGUAGAGAUCCGGAAGAACACCGGUGGCGAAGGCGGCCUGCUGGGCAGUUUUGCUGACACUGGAGGCGCGACAGCGUGGGGAGCAAACAGG